rnacentral:rRNA from 1 species
CGGCGAGGGGAGUGAAAAAGAACCUGAAACCGUGUACGUACAAGCAGUGGGAGCACGCUUAGGCGUGUGACUGCGUACCUUUUGUAUAAUGGGUCAGCGACUUAUAUUCUGUAGCAAGGUUAACCGAAUAGGGGAGCCGAAGGGAAACCGAGUCUUAACUGGGCGUUAAGUUGCAGGGUAUAGACCCGAAACCCGGUGAUCUAGCCAUGGGCAGGUUGAAGGUUGGGUAACACUAACUGGAGGACCGAACCGACUAAUGUUGAAAAAUUAGCGGAUGACUUGUGGCUGGGGGUGAAAGGCCAAUCAAACCGGGAGAUAGCUGGUUCUCCCCGAAAGCUAUUUAGGUAGCGCCUCGUGAAUUCAUCUCCGGGGGUAGAGCACUGUUUCGGCAAGGGGGUCAUCCCGACUUACCAACCCGAUGCAAACUGCGAAUACCGGAGAAUGUUAUCACGGGAGACACACGGCGGGUGCUAACGUCCGUCGUGAAGAGGGAAACAACCCAGACCGCCAGCUAAGGUCCCAAAGUCAUGGUUAAGUGGGAAACGAUGUGGGAAGGCCCAGACAGCCAGGAUGUUGGCUUAGAAGCAGCCAUCAUUUAAAGAAAGCGUAAUAGCUCACUGGUCGAGUCGGCCUGCGCGGAAGAUGUAACGGGGCUAAACCAUGCACCGAAGCUGCGGCAGCGACGCUGAUGCGUUGUUGGGUAGGGGAGCGUUCUGUAAGCCUG